rnacentral:rRNA from 1 species
UGUGAAGUCAUUGAUGCCAUGCUUCCAGGAAAAGCCUCUAAGCUUCAGAUUGUAAGGAAUCGUACCCCAAACCGACACAGGUGGUCGGGUAGAGAAUACCAAGGCGCUUGAGAGAACUCGGGUGAAGGAACUAGGCAAAAUGGUACCGUAACUUCGGGAGAAGGUACGCUCUCGACGGUGAAGUCCCUUGCGGAUGGAGCUAUUGAGAGUCGCAGAUACCAGGUGGCUGCAACUGUUUAUUAAAAACACAGCACUGUGCAAAAUCGUAAGAUGACGUAUACGGUGUGACGCCUGCCCGGUGCCGGAAGGUUAAUUGAUGGGGUUAGACUUCGGUCGAAGCUCUUGAUCGAAGCCCCGGUAAACGGCGGCCGUAACUAUAACGGUCCUAAGGUAGCGAAAUUCCUUGUCGGGUAAGUUCCGACCUGCACGAAUGGCGUAAUGAUGGCCACGCUGUCUCCACCCGAGACUCAGUGAAAUUGAAAUCGCUGUGAAGAUGCAGUGUACCCGCGGCUAGACGGAAAGACCCCGUGAACCUUUACUACAGCUUGGCACUGAACAUUGACCCUACAUGUGUAGGAUAGGUGGGAGGCUUUGAAGCACGUACGCCAGUAUGUGUGGAGCCGUCCUUGAAAUACCACCCUUGUAGUGUUGAUGUUCUAACGUCGACCCCUAAUCGGGGUUGCGGACAGUGCCUGGUGGGUAGUUUGACUGGGGCGGUCUCCUCCCAAAGAGUAACGGAGGAGCACGAAGGUGGGCUAAUCACGGUUGGAC